rnacentral:lncRNA from 1 species
CACAUCAAAGCCAGUGUGGGGUGAGGCGCACCACCCACAGAGGCUCAUAGGUGCCUUCUUCCACUGCUGUGACCGGAACACGUUCCCCAAAGCUCAUGUCUGGCGUCUUAACUCCCAAUGGAUCAGUACUGAGGGCUCUUCGCAGUGCUCAUGCCUAACCUUGGGCACUUUCUAUCUCCACCGUCUCCAACCGACCCAUCCCUACCUGUUCUGAGGAUUCUGCCUGUACGAUGUCUUGAAAGUUUGUCUGUGUGAAGACUGGCUCAGCCAUAUGGCAACUGCUUUUCACAAGCAGGAAGACAGGUCCCUUCUCAGAAUAUUCCCUGCGAGAUUAUUCCAGCAUGCAGAGCUUCCCAGAUUAUAGGGAGAAAAUACUGCAAACGCAGCAACAAUUAUGUGACACCCCCGCCCACUCCAUCCACCCCCACACCUGAGAGCCACUCCACACAGACUCACUUGUAUUCCCGAAGCAGAUCACAGGCAGAUUAUGCUCUGGAGACUGGGAGACUCAGACCAGGAUGUCUGCACAUGGAAGCACCUCAGGUCCCCUUUUAAAACUGCCUUUAGCCCAAGCUACUGCUACACCUUGACCCUGACUACAAACACCCUGACCAGAGAUCCUCAAAGCCACGGGUGCUUGCCCUCAAACCCCGUGCUUGCUUUA